rnacentral:rRNA from 1 species
AUUGAACGCUGGCGGCAGGCCUAACACAUGCAAGUCGAGCGGAGCGGCGGACGGGCGAGUAAUACCUAGGUAUCUGCCUGCUAGAGGGGGAUGACGUUCGGCAACGGACGCUAACACCGCCUCCUAUCAGUUGAGUCUAGGUCGGAUUAGCUAGUUGGUGAGGUAAUGGCUCACCAAGGCUACGAUCCGUACCUGGUCUGAGAGGAUGAUCAGUCACACUGGAACUGAGACACGGUCCAGACUCCUACGGGAGGCAGCAGUGGGGAAUAUUGGACAAUGGGCGCAAGCCUGAUGCAGCCAUGCCGCGUGUAUGAAGAAGGUCUUAGGGUUGUAAAGCACUUUAAGUUGGGAGGCGUUACCGACAGAAUAAGCACCGGCUAACUCUGUGCCAGCCGCCGCGGUAAUUC